CAACGCUCCUGACUGCAAGGCCCAGGCUGACACAGUGUUAAAGGCUUUCACAACCCUGGCACCUGGCAGCAGCUGAGCAAGGUGAACUCAAACCAGACAACCUAAGACCUCGAAGAGCAGACCCUGAGAGACCCCUCUCUUGAACUGGCCAUCAAUUAGAUACUUAGAGCAGCAAUUUAAUUAGCAGGAGCCCUGAUG